UCACCUUCAAGCACAGCUUGGUGUUGGGCGUCUGUCCUGCCUCCGGCACGGACUCGCCUCAAAAGUAUUGGCGGCCACUCCAGCGGCUUUGAGCGCAGCAGAAUUGCGUCUCUCGCGGCGAAGGGUGGUAUCCAGAAGCAUAUUUUUUA
rnacentral:misc_RNA from 1 species